UACGUAGGUGGCAAGCGUUUGUCCGGAUUUACUGGGCGUAAAGAGCGCGCAGGCGGUCGUUCAAGUCGCGUGUGAAAGCCCCCGGCUCAACUGGAGAGGGUCACGCGAUACUGAUCGACUCGAAGGCAGGAGAGGGUAGUGGAAUUCCCGGUGUAGUGGUGAAAUGCGUAGAUAUCGGGAGGAACACCAGUGGCGAAGGCGACUACCUGGCCUGUUCUUGACGCUGAGGCGCGAAAGCUAGGGGAGCAAACGGG
rnacentral:rRNA from 1 species